UGGGGAAUAUUGCACAAUGGGGGAAACCCCUGAUGCAGCGACGCCGCGUGAGCGAUGAAGUAUUUCGGUAUGUAAAGCUCUAUCAGCAGGGAAGAAAAUGACGGUACCUGACUAAGAAGCCCCGGCUAACUACGUGCCA
rnacentral:rRNA from 1 species